ACUACUAGAUUCGCGAUUAGCGCUUCAAAAGCGGCCCGAAAAAAUAAAUAAGACCACAAAUAAAUUUGUGGUCUUAUUUCAAAUUAGUAUGGUCCAAUCAUAGCCAACACUAAGACGUCAAAACGCUGCAAUGCGCGUUCAAAAACUGAGUAAAAAACCACCGUAACACCAAGGUUUUGGAAGGAAUAUCUUUUUUUGAUUUCCUAGUAGCCCCUUGUCGCUGUGCACAAUGGAUAUAUAUUGUCGCGAAAGAAAGAGGAGAAGAAAUAUAGAACUCUUAUAAAAAUUCUAGAAUUGUUCAAUGGUGGUGGCAAAUCAAUGCAAAAAAGUAUUAAAAAAACUUUAUAUGUAUGUGUAAAUAUUUUAAGCGUAUAUGCUGAAAAGGAUUUGUUUUCUGGGGGAAACGAACACAGCCAUAAAAUAAGCCUAAAUUAAACUGAUUAUAGAAAAAUUCAUUGAUAUAAGAUUACAUUAUAUUAGUAAAAAAGAAACCGCUCAUAUAAAAAUGACUUCUAAAAGACAGCUUUAUAACAAACUGAAUCUGUUUAAAGUUAAUUAAACCUACAUUAUUGUUUUAAUUACUUCUGUAUAAAGAAUACGUGGAAAACA